rnacentral:lncRNA from 1 species
GAAGUCACGUCACGGAAUUUUUCCCAUCUAAAGGCCCCGCCUUUGGGAAGACGCCGCCUAGCUACCAGUCUUCGAAAGCUUUGACAAGGAGAGCUAGCACUAAACAAAGAGAACAUAGAAAAAAAGAGAUUAGUGACAAAAAUGAAGGUUCUAUUGGUGAAAUGUGCUUACCACCUAAUCUCCAAGCGAGCGGUAUCUCAUCGGAACGAUGCUGAUAUCUCCCUCGAAUUUUCUAUUUCGAUGCGUUGAAGUUUUGGCGAUCUUCCAAAAAAUUGCUGGUGAACAGAACUAGAGAGAGCCCUGUCUCUGUUGUUAGUAGAAGGGACAUCAAAUCAAACCAGGACGAGCAGUGGUGUCAUCUCUGUAGCUCUCGACAAAAAGUAGUUUUAAUCGAGCAAGCAAGAUAUAAGAACUACAAAGGAAAGAAGGAAACUCACGAAAGCACUUGAACCGACAAUAAUCAUCACCAAAAGCUAGCAACACUUGUAAGGAGGACAGCCAAGACAACACUUGGCCGAGCAACGACGAGAACACGAUAUAACUCCACGCUGACCCACAGCCGGAUGAAGAUCACACCCUACGCCACACAACAAAGAAAAUACGUACACAUGCUCGCCAUGCACGCCAGGAAGAUCCAAGUCUUAUUCGGGAAGCAGCAUUGAAGAGGAUAAGCCCGGGGUCGCCAAUGGGUCUCCUCCACAGUAGAGCGAAGGCUUGCACUGGAAUAGAAACAGCCAGUCGCAGCAGCUGAGUCAUCCAUUCCAAACGAAGAAACUUUUGGAGAACUUGCCUGAAACGGGAAUUUUUGUAGCCUUAUGAUGUGCUCAUGAGGUUGUUCGUAGUAGAAGUAGUCGCCCUUGGCAGCGGGGCGGGAUGGAUUCUUAAGGUCCUCUAAGUCGCGACUGAUCGAGGAGCAAACGGUCCAGGAUCCUCGCUCGCAAGGCAUUGUCGUUGUUAAAUGUCUUUAUGACGCUA